UCGCAAGAUCAUGCCGAGAAAGUCGAAAAGCCACAGGCUCUCUUUCAUCUUACCGGUCUACAAGAAAGAAGGCAAUGAGUAGUGAAUGCCAGGUAGAGCAGCUUUAUAGAUAGGGUUAGUAAGGUAACAAGUGCUCUUCCUCGGGUGGUUUCCGCGAACUGAUGUCUACGAGUGUUACGAGCCUUGAGUCUGCUCCAACCAUCCCACCCAAUCCUGAGUAGGCUCACAAGUUUCAUUUUAGCCUGAUUUUCGUUCAGUUCUUCCUUUCCUUGGCUUACUGUCUUUCCUGAUGGUGAAUAGCCGCUCUUUGAUUUGAUAGAGGAAGUGACAUCUAAGGGGAAAUAAGAGAUGGCAUCGAAAAGAAGAAGGCAAAGGGACUAAGAAAGGGUGUCUCAAGAAGGGGCUUUGAGGGACGACUGAUUGACCUUCGACGCAGGAAGCAUCGAAUUGCAUUAGUGGGAUAGCUUACUUAAAUACUCCCCCAAGCCAGGAAAGCUAGUGCUCGUGAAUGCGCUCCUUACAUGCAUAUUCUAGUACCAGUCCUUACGCCGAGAAAAGAGUCCUUAGGCCCAAUCUGAGAAGGAAAGCCUUAACGCCCUUGCUUUUGUAACCCGUGCUUGAUGCAAUAACCGCAACGAGAGUAAGCGCUGUUGGAUAGAAGACCACGUAGCCUUGCUAUGCUAAAGGAAUGGAUUUAACUCUUUAGACAGUGCAGAAUCUACUAGGGUUAACCUCUCUUUAGCCUAUUUGUCCUCAUGCUAGCCAAUCUCUGGCAAUUGGUCUAUGGCAAAG
rnacentral:lncRNA from 1 species